rnacentral:rRNA from 1 species
AACGAACGCUGGCGGCAUGCCUAACACAUGCAAGUCGAACGAGAUCUUCGGGUCUAGUGGCGCACGGGUGCGUAACGCGUGGGAAUCUGCCCUUUGGUUCGGAAUAACAGUUGGAAACGACUGCUAAUACCGGAUGAUGACGAAUGUCCAAAGAUUUAUCGCCAGAGGAUGAGCCCGCGUAGGAUUAGCUAGUUGGUGUGGUAAAGGCGCACCAAGGCGACGAGCCUUAGCUGGUCUGAGAGGAUGAUCAGCCACACUGGGACUGAGACACGGCCCAGACUCCAACGGGAGGAAGCAGUGGGGAAUAUUGGACAAUGGGCGAAAGCCUGAUCCAGCAAUGCCGCGUGAGUGAUGAAGGCCUUAGGGUUGUAAAGCUCUUUUACCGGGGAUGAUAAUGACAGUACCGGGAGAAUAAGCUCCGGCUAACUCCGUGCCAGCCGCCGCCGUAA